UAUACACAACUCUACAAUCAGGAUUGUAUUAUGUAAAUAAAUAUUAAAUGUUUUUAGAAAUGUUUAGGUACAGAUCACUUUGAAUGUUUGGACUGCUAUAGUCAAGAAUCCAAACCUUGAGGGUGGGCAAGUUGUCUAAUGGUCGUACCAGUGCACCUGGGAGUUGCGAUUCCUAGUUUUCCUGUUCCUGGCUUUACUAAUAACUCAGCCUGUUUUCUAUGCUUGAUUUACAGGACAGUUGUGAGACUUAAUGACUUAUAUUUUUAAAGGAGAUGGAUUGUCUUGGAUGAAAAGCACCAUGUAAAUGUGAAGUAUUAGCAAAGUCCCAGGGACUCUGUCAUGAUCUGGACCCAAGUUCUGCAGCAAGGCCUCUACUUUGAAUGGCACGCCAAUGCUGAACUAAGUGAUACUUGAUAAUGCUGCAAAAUUUACAGUAGGUAAAACCCCUUCAAGGCGAAUGGAGAUACAUCCGCACAUGUCAGAGCUACAGUUUCAGCAUAUCUGCUUGCAGACUCAGGAGAUCAACAAAGCAUCCAUAUGUAUUUGUCAGGCCCAAUUCUGAUCCAACUAAAAUCAAUGAGAGCUUUGCUACUGACUUCAGUGGAAGCAAGACCAGACACUUCUUCCCCUCUUCCAUCAAUCCAGUCCCUUCCGUACAAGCCACAAGAACUAUCAGAUUCGUGGUUACAUCGGGACAAUCCCAAUCUUUCCUUCCCAAUUUAGUUUUGAAACACAAUGUAAAUUAAAAUAUAUUGCAGCUGCCUGCAGGAGAAGCUGUUGAUCUGUAGGAAGGGAAAUAUAGUUGGGGAAAGGAGAUAUGUGGGGGGAAAAGUAGCAGUAAUUGUGGAAGGAGUAAGGAAGAGAAAAAAAUUCAAUUUUUUUAAAAUUCUUUCAGCGUCUCA